rnacentral:misc_RNA from 1 species
GAUUGGUCGCAGCUGGACUGCUCGACGUGCGAGCCAAUGACACGCAAGAUCGUGUCGCGCCCCCCUCUCGCGGCCGGACGUUUUUGACGUCAGGUGCUUAUCGAACCGCGAGCGUUCCUAGCGGCGAUUCACGGAAACACGCUCGCUUGAUAUCCUCAAUAGGAGGACCGCCGUCGUUGUCUGGCGUACGACGGGACUUGGAGCUCUAGCAAUAUGGCGAAGUGUGUCACGGUGGGCUCGGUGGUGUAGAUCGUCGGUAGUGCCGUUCCGAAAGAUGACAAGCCCGCGGUAUGGGUUGAGAAUAAUGUAGCGGCCGCUCGUGCUUGAGAUCAGCGUGGUGCCAGUCAGCGUAAUCACGUGUGUACGUCAACGUAACACUGCGCCGUCGUAACCCCCCGUUCACGUUCACGGGUCGCGCUCCGCGUUCUUAACGUGUUGAUACGAGGUGGUGCGCGUUACCGGUGUCCAAUAAAGAGCAGCAGCGAGAGAGCCAUGGCUACGGAUAAGAUAAAAGUCGCCGUGCGGGUACGGCCGUUCAGUCGCAGAGAGCUGGAACUUGGUACGCAAUGCGUCGUUGAAAUGACGGGACAGCAGACCAUCUUGCAGCAUCCUAUCACGAUGGACAAGAUCGAUCGGAACAAACCGAAGACCUUCGCCUUCGAUCACUGCUUCUACUCGCUGGAUCCCAUAGUGGGGAACUACGCCAGUCAGGAGAUCGUCUUCGAUGCCCUAGGUCUCGAUAUCCUGGACAAUGCCUUCCAGGGUUACAACGCCUGUAUAUUCGCCUACGGGCAGACUGGCUCCGGGAAGUCUUACACAAUGAUGGGCAGCGGCGACAAUAAGGGGAUAAUACCGCGGCUGUGCGACAACCUCUUCGACAUGAUCGCGAAACAACAGAGUUCCGAGCUCACAUACAAAGUCGAGGUCUCGUACAUGGAGAUCUACAACGAGAAGGUGCACGAUCUGCUGGACCCGAAGCCAAACAAGCAAUCGCUCAAAGUCAGGGAACACAAUGUCCUGGGGCCCUACGUGGACGGGCUCAGUCAAUUGGCGGUCACUUCUUUUCAGGACAUCGACAACCUCAUGGCGGAGGGCAACAAGUCGCGGACGGUCGCGGCGACGAACAUGAACUCGGAGAGCUCCCGCUCGCACGCCGUGUUCUCGGUGAUCCUCACGCAAACUCUGACGGACUCGAAAAGCGGGGUCAGCGGCGAGAAGGUCUCGCGGAUGAGCCUGGUAGAUUUAGCUGGGAGCGAAAGGGCUGUGAAAACUGGGGCAGUUGGUGAUAGACUUAAAGAAGGAAGCAAUAUUAACAAGUCCCUAACGACGCUGGGUCUAGUCAUUUCAAAGUUGGCGGAUCAGAAUUCCGGCAACAACAAGAAGAAGGACAAUUUCGUGCCGUACAGAGAUUCUGUCCUUACGUGGCUGUUGAAGGAUAAUCUUGGUGGAAAUAGCAAAACCGUAAUGGUGGCCACUAUAUCGCCGGCCGCCGACAAUUACGAAGAGACGCUGUCGACUCUUCGAUACGCCGAUAGAGCGAAGAGGAUAGUCAAUCACGCCGUAGUUAACGAGGACCCGAACGCCAGGAUUAUUCGCGAACUCAGGCAGGAGGUCGAGACUUUGAAGGAGAUGUUGUUACAAGCCACCGUGCAGGGAUCGAUUGGACAGCAACGCACAGACAUCACGGAGAAACUGUCGGAAUCGGAGCGGCUGAUGAAAGAGAUGUCGCAGACGUGGGAGGAGAAGUUGGUGAAGACCGAGAGGCUGCAGCACGAGCGGCAGCAGGCUCUCGAGAAGAUGGGAAUAAGUGUGCAAGCGUCCGGCAUUCAAGUGGAGAAGAACAAGUAUUAUCUGGUGAAUCUGAACGACGAUCCCAGUCUGAACGAGUUGCUAGUUUAUUAUCUCAAGCAAAGAACUUUGGUGGGUGGUCGCUCGGCCAAGACGGAGCAGGACAUCCAGUUGCACGGCUUGGGCAUCCUGCCGGAACACUGUGUCAUCACGAUCGAGGAAUCGGGCCUGUACAUGACGCCGCUGAACGGUGCGCGAUGCUUCGUGAACGGCACGCAGGUCGUGGAUAAGAGCCUAUUGCAGCACGGUGACCGGAUCGUCUGGGGGAACCAUCACUUCUUCCGCGUGAAUUGUCCGCGAAGUGCCACAGCAAUCAACAGCGAGCCGCAGACACCCGCACAAAACAUCGACUACAACUUCGCUAGGGAGGAGCUCAUGCUCAACGAGCUCUCGAACGAUCCGAUUCAGCGGGCCAUCGCGAGGCUGGAGAAGCAGCACGAGGAGGACAAGCAGGUCGCGCUCGAGAAACAGCGGCUGGAAUAUGAGCGGCAGUUCCAACAGCUGCGCAACAUCCUGUCACCGUCCACGCCGUACUCGCCCUACGUGCCGUAUGAUCCUCUGCGGGGCAGUCAGAGCGGAAAGCUGCCGGCUUGCACGCCAACAACGCAGAUGCGGGUGGAGAAGUGGGCGCAGGAGCGAGACGAGAUGUUCAAAAGGAGCCUGGGUCAACUGAAGACGGAUAUUCUGAAGGCGAACGCACUGGUGCAAGAGGCUAACUUCCUCGCGGAGGAGAUGGGCAAGCAAACGAAAUUCAGCGUUACUCUGCAAAUCCCUCCGAAUAAUCUAAGUCCGAACAGGAAGAGUGUAUUCUUUCAGCGAGGUGCGUUUGUCAGCGAACCUGCAAUCUUGGUAAAAAGAACGAAUAUGGGAAGUCAAGUAUGGUCCAUGGAAAAAUUAGAGAAUAAGUUGGUCGAUAUGCGAGAUAUGUAUGAGGAACGAAAGGACCCCCAUAAUGGUCAGCGAUUACCUGCGAUUAAGGACGAGGUACCGGGAAAAACGCAGGAUCCGUUCUACGAGUCGCAGGAGAAUCACAAUCUCAUCGGCGUCGCGAAUAUUUUCCUGGAGGUGCUGUUCCACGACGUGCGACUGGAUUAUCACACUCCGAUCAUCAGCCAGCAGGGCGAGGUUGCUGGUCGAUUGCAGGUCGAGAUAAGCCGCAUAUCCGGGCAGUUCCCGCAGGACCGGAUCUGCGAGGCCGCCUCGGAGUCCUCGGCGGACUCGACGUCCUCCGAGCCGGACGAUUACUCCGGCGGGUCCAGCCACAUCACCUGCCGCGUCACGAUAAAACAGGCGACGGGCUUGCCGCUCUCAUUGAGCCACUUCGUGUUCUGUCAGUACAUGUUCUGGGGUCAUCCGGAACCCAUAGUGGUCCCGCCUAUGGUGAACGCGGAGCUGCCCAACUCGAAUUGCGUCGCCGGACAGCGGGACUCCCUGACGUUCAAGUUCGAUCACACGAAGGACUUUACCGUGCCAAUCACGGAGGAGUUCAUGGAACACGCAGCCGAAGGGGCACUGAGCAUAGAAGUAUGGGGCCAUCGCAGCGCGGGUUUUUCGCGCAGCAAACCCGGAUGGGAGGUAGAGCAGCAGCAGCUGGCGAAAGCCAGGUCGCUUGCUGAUCGGUGGUCGGAAUUAACGAGAAAAAUUGAGCUGUGGGUGGAGAUACAGGAGCUCAACGAGCAGGGCGAGUACUCACCCGUCGAAGUCGCGUUGAAACAGGAUACGUGUACAGGUGGCAUUCAUCAACUUCGACAAGGUCAACAGCGACGGAUACAGGUCCGUGUGAAGCCAGUACAAAAUUCCGGAACCUUGCCAAUCAUCUGUCAAUCGAUAUUGAAUAUAGCCGUGGGCAGCGUGUCUGUGCGAAAUCGAUUACAGAUUCCGUUGGAUAGUUACCAGGACGAGGACUUGAGUAUAUUGAGGGAAAAGUGGAGCGAUGCCCUGAUGAGAAGACGACAGUAUCUCGAUCAACAGAUCCAGAAGCUCAUCAAUAAGCAAGACAAAACGGAACAAGACAUGGAGCGAGAGCAGAGUCUGGUGGAUCAAUGGGUCAGUCUUACGGAGGAACGGAAUGCCGUUUUGGUGCCUGCGGCGGGUUCGGGCAUUCCCGGUGCUCCCGCUGAUUGGACUCCGCCCGCGGGAAUGGAACCUCACAUUCCCGUAUUGUUCCUCGAUCUCAAUGCUGAUGAUCUCUCAACGCAUCAGUCGGGAGAGGAAGUAUCGGUGACGGGACUAAACUCGAUCCUGCCAAAGGAACACGGAAACAAGUUCUACAAUCUGCCGAUAAUUCGGCACCUGGAAAAAGACGUAUGUGCCAUCGCCGCUUGGGAUUCUAGUAUACACGAUAACGUGCACCUCAAUCGAGUGACCGAUGCGAACGAGAGGGUGUUCCUGAUCUUGAAGACUACCGUACGCCUGUCACAUCCGGCACCAAUGGACCUCGUGUUGCGCAAGAGACUAGCCCUGAACAUCUACAAGAGGCAGAGCAUCACCGACCGGAUCUUCAAGCGGAUCGUUCGCACUGACUGCUUGGCGCAGACCGGCGUCACCUACGAGGUGGUUUCGAACAUACCGAAGGCGAGCGAAGAACUUGAGGAUCGUGAGAGUUUGGCGCAGAUCGCUGCCAGCGGAGAGGAUAACAGCUUGUGUGACGGAGAGACUUACAUAGAGAAAUACACCCGCGGCGUGUCCGCAGUCGAAAGUAUAUUAACGCUGGAUCGAUUACGACAGAACGUCGCGGUGAAGGAGUUGCUACAAGCGCAGGGACAGCCGCUGAUGCGCAAGACUGCAAGUGUCCCGAACUUCUCGCAGAUCAUGAGAUUCGACACGUCGAUGGACGCGUUGAACGUAACUCGUUCGGAGAGUGUGACGGAUCUCAAUACAGAGAUAAACGGUCUCCCGCAUCCGCGACGCGCGUCCACGGGCCACGCGAGAAACGACGAAAACUUUAUAUCCGCACCGCCAAAGUCAUUCGGAAUCGCGAGACCAACUUUCCUGAAUCUCAACCUGAAUCUCAACUCAUUGACACGUCUUCAACAAUCUACCUCUGCCAAGUCGUCUCCGAAUAUGGUCAGCAGCAAACUGGGCCUUCGUAUGACUACAUUGCACGAGGAAACGUCGAACGUCGGGAAUCAAGCGUCCACUCCCGUCAAUGACGACGACGAGGAGAAGAGCGACGCCGAUUAUUCUGAAUACGAGGCAUAUCAGGCACCGCCGAAACCGAUAAAACCGCUAACUUCCUCACGCACACUGGAUUCCCUGGUCGAGCUGCAAUCGACGAAGAUUAACACGCCGAGCAUGAGCAGUAGCGGCUACGGCUCCCAGGCGGUCUCGACGACGAAUCUGACGUCGGAGGACUCCAUCUCCAUCAAGUCCAUCAGCGUGGACGAGACGCCGGAUCUCGAGUAUCGCAAUCUUCUCGACAGCAAGAAACCCGAGAAGAUGGACAGUUCCCUCGUCGAGGAGACGCCCGAGGAGUAUCUGGGCGAGAUAAAUUCCGCGUUGGACAAUCUGAGCGUCUCGCAACGCACUUGCACGGAGGAACACACUAGAAAACAUUUGGAGGAAACGGGGGCGUACGCUGACACCGACAUGGACAGCCCGGUCUCGUCGACGAAGAGCGAGAGCGAAAGCAACAGCAACGCGAUCCAUAACGAGACUUUGCGAAAAGAUGCGCACGACCAGGUGUCUCACGACAGAAGGAAAAGCGAGACGGAAACCAACCAGUUGUCCAAUUCGGGAGACGAUAGUUCUAUGGACGGGAGUUCGGUCGUGCAUACGAAACUGCCACCCGGCAAGGUCGUACGAAGAAGAAAGACCUCUAAUGGUACAGGAAGGCCUACCAGUUCGCAACAUAGAGCUUCGUUUCCUAUGGUCCGUCCACAAGUUUCUGAGAGCAAGGCUGCAGCACGCUUGGAACAAACAUUACAACCUAGCAUGUCGUAUGAAAAUGGAGACAACAGUUCUUCGGAGAGGAUCGACGCGGACGACGUUAGCGAUAAGAGUUCGGCGUUUGGUUCGAGGUACGAUCUAACUCGAGUGGAGACUCCCCUACCGGACUGGGUCGUCGUUGGCGAAUCAGUCUUGGUUCGUCCUUACAGUUAUUCCGGAGUUAUAGCAUAUGUUGGUCCUACAGAGUUCGCAUCCGGAAACUGGAUAGGAGUCGAACUCGACGCUCCAACUGGCAAGAACGAUGGUGCUGUUAACGGUCACAGGUAUUUCACGUGCCGGCCGAAGUGCGGCAUAUUUGUCAAAGUCGACAAACUGAUUCAGGAUAGACGAGGAAGGGCGCUCAGAAGUUACACCAAGCAAGAACUCGCGCCAGCACCAUCCACGUCGAUGCGCCGGAGCGUUAGCAAGGGCGAAGGAUUACAUUCCUUGCAUCGCAGUCGCAGCCGGGGGGAAGGCCUCUCCGCAACAGGCACACGUUCUUUUCCACGCGUAAUUGACCAUCUUCGCGCGCAUGCGCAAAAGACGAGGAUCUAAAAAGGACGCGAGGCAAAAGUUGGUUUCUUUUACUUCUGGGAAUCGUCUCACAGACAUUGACAUUCAACAGCCAACGAAACUCGGACUCGGAGAUGUAACGCACGCGUCUUUUGCUUUCACAUCAUGGCUGUGUUCUCUCGCGGGAAAAACACCGGCGCGCACCGGAUUGGAAUAAAGGCUGUGAAGCGUGGGACUCCCUCCGUGUGACAUCGAUCAAUGCUGGCAGUUGCAACAAUUUUCAUCAAUCAUGAAAUCAAGCGUGGAGAUUUGACGAACGUGGCUCGACGUUAAUUGCGACAGAAGCCGCGAAAUCGAUCGUGCUACAUUUUUCUCGGCACGGUUGUUGCUUUACACAACUUCUACGGCAGUUGCGGCGUUCUAUCAAAAUCGGUCGGUUGAAGGAGAAACGGUAAAAGAUUUCUGCAACCUUUCAAACCCCGGAUAUCUCUUAGCGAUAACUAUCGAUCAAUCAAAUAAUCAAGAUGCGUCCAGCAGCUACGUGCAGAUGAUUGUUAAGUAAUCGAGAAGUCGAUAAAUUGUACCGUCGAUAAUAAACAUUAGAUGUAUGGACAUUA